rnacentral:rRNA from 1 species
UACGUAGGGGGCAAGCGUUGUCCGGAUUUAUUGGGCGUAAAGAGCGUGUAGGCGGCCGUACAGGUCAGCUGUGAAAACUCGAGGCUCAACCUCGAGACGUCGGUUGAAACCGUACGGCUAGAGUCCGGAAGAGGAGAGUGGAAUUCCCGGUGUAGCGGUGAAAUGCGCAGAUAUCGGGAAGAACACCCGUGGCGAAGGCGGCUCUCUGGGACGGUACUGACGCUGAGACGCGGAAAGCGUGGGGAGCGAACAGG